CCAAUAGCGUAUAUUAAAGUUGUUGCAGUUAAAAAGCUCGUAGUUGAAUUUCGGGAUUGACACAUCGGUCGUGCCUUAAGGGGUAUGAACUGGUGUAGUCAGUUUCUCACCUUCUGGAGAACCGCGAUGUCCUUAAUUGGGUGCCGCGGGGAACCAGGACCUUUACUUUGAAAAAAUUAGAGUGUUUAAAGCAGGCAUUUUGCUUGAAUACAUUAGCAUGGAAUAAUAAAAUAGGACGGAUGGUUCUAUUUUGUUGGUUUCUAGGAUCACCGUAAUGAUUAAUAGGGAUAGUUGGGGGCAUUAGUAUUCAAUUGUCAGAGGUGAAAUUCUUGGAUUUAUUGAAGACUAACUACUGCGAAAGCAUUUGCCAAGGAUGUUUUCAUUAAUCAAGAACGAAAGUUAGGGGAUCGAAGACGAUCAGAUACCGUCGUAGUCUUAACCAUAAACUAUGCCGACUAGGAAUCAGACGAUGUUAAUUUUUUAAUGACUCGUUUGGCACCUUAC
rnacentral:rRNA from 1 species